GACGAACGCUGGCGGCGUGCCUAAUACAUGCAAGUCGAGCGGACAGAAGGGAGCUUGCUCCCGGAAGUUAGCGGCGGACGGGUGAGUGACACGUGGGCAACCUACCCUGUAGAUCGGGAUAACAUCGAGAAAUCGGUGCUAAUACCGGAUAAUCAUUUGAAGUGCAUGCUUCGAAUGUAAAAGAUGGCUCCGGCUAUCACUACGGGAUGGGCCCGCGGCGCAUUAGCUAGUUGGUAAGGUAAUGGCUUACCAAGGCAACGAUGCGUAGCCGACCUGAGAGGGUGAUCGGCCACACUGGGACUGAGACACGGCCCAGACUCCUACGGGAGGCAGCAGUAGGGAAUCUUCCGCAAUGGACUAAAGUCUGACGGAGCAACGCCGCGUGAGUGAUGAAGGUUUUCGGACCGUAAAGCUCUGUUGUUAGGGAAGAACAAGUGCCGUUUGAAUAAGGCGGCACCUUGACGGUACCUAACCAGAAAGCCACGGCUAACUACGUGCCAGCCGCCGCAGUAACAC
rnacentral:rRNA from 1 species